AGCGGUGCACUUGGACACGGUGCAUUUGGACACAGCCAAUCACAGCACCGUGUGAUUAGAGACAUUUGUAGGGUCCCUUGGAACAGCAACUUGUGAUUGGACUGUGUCCAAUUGCCCCGUGUCCAACUGAUAUAUACCCUAAAUACCUUGCAACAAAAAUUAGAAAACCUUAAUAAAUCUAAUCUUAUAGAUUGUCAUCCAUUGGUUACGGCUAUUCAACAAGGAUUAGAUAAGAGGUAAUUCAUUGAUUUGGUCAAUAAUCUAAUUAAUACAUAUGCGAUUAAUACAUGUGUUAAAUUCAAAUAAGAAUUUAAUUAAUAAAAAUAAUAAAUAUUUUUUAUUUCAAAGUA